UGAUUUAUGAUAUUACAUGUACUGCUAAAUAACCUUACCUUAUAGGCAGCUGUCCAGUGGAUCAAGUUCUGAAUUAUCUUUGGGUGGUGGGUUGAUAGGAUAAAAAAUGUAAACUUUUUUUUGUAAAUAAUAUUUCUUUUUGAUAUAUGUAGAUCUGUUGAUGUUAUUUAACAGUUGUUAUUGAACAAUGUUACAUGUAUCUGGUUCGCUGUUGUGGUCUAGUAUAUAUUCAGAAAAUCAAAACUUUAAUAUCCAUGUGUUUUUUACUUUACUACUAACAUGUUCGUGAAAAAAUUACAAAGGGAGGAAGGGCUUGUUAGAUCGAUUCAUAUUCUGGGAAGAAGAUGAUUUGUAUACAAAUGUAGCUCCACUGUUCAACAUUGUUUUAAUUUAUUGUUAGUCUUAGAGUUACACUGUAGAUGGUACAUAAACAAUUUAAAAUACUGAUAGCUUUUAACAUAAGCUUGAAAUUUAUUCAUGAAAUAUACUAAAGACCAGAAUAUAUUAUCUCGGUAAUUGGAUAAAAUCCUGUAGCCAAGCUAAGUUUAAUAUCCGAGUAUAAAUGAAUGUUUUAGAAUGUUUAUUAUAAUUUAUAAUUUUUUAAGUGGAACUUGAGCAAAAAUUGUUCUUCACUAUAAAGUAUAGUAUGCAAUUUUUAGAUAAAAAAUUAAUACCUUAGACUACAUGUUAAACAUUUAAAGCUAUGAUAUAAAAAAUAAUGUUGGUUUUUCUUCUUCUUCUUUUUUGGGGGGGGGUUGUUUUUUAAAAAAAAUUUCUCCUAAUUUCCUAAUUUCAUUACAGAGUUUGCAUUCUUUAUGUUACUUUAUAAAUACUAGUACUCUAGAUCUACUUGUGCUUCAUGUUUAUGUUGAACAGUAUUUAUUUAGUAUAUUAUAAUUAUUUUCAGUGUUUGAACUACAUUUUAAUGUACUUUGGGGAAUGAUUUUUUUUAUGUUGGUUUGGAACUUGUAGCUGAUUAAACUUUGAAUUUGAU
rnacentral:sRNA from 1 species